UUCCUUCCCGCUGAGGCGGCCGAGCAGGAAGGAAGCUGCAUUGGCGUGGAGGCUGCCUCCGCCAUCCAGGCCAGCGGCAUGGGCUCUGUGCCAUGCUGAGACAGAGGAUGCUGAUGCUGCCGAAGACGAGGCAGCGUUGGCGGCUGCAACGUGAGUGGCAUAGGUGAGGAGGCCUUUCGGGAGUGGGGUGUGGUGUUCGUAUGGAGCCCCUGGUUGUCUCACGGACUAUUGACCACUAAUCUGCUGCCACCAACCAGGUUCCCCCCGGUAAAUCACUAAGUCUCAGUCAGGUUCUUAAGUUAACAAAGAAGAGUGUAAAGGUAAAGGUAAAGGGACCCCUGACCGUUAGGUCCAGACUCUGGGGUUGCGGCGCUCAUCUCGCUUUACUGGCUGAGGGAGCCGGCGUACAGCUUCCGGGUCAUGUGGCCAGCAUGACUAAGCCGCUUCUGGCGAACUAGAGCAGGGCACGGAAAUGCCGUUUACCUUCCCGCUGGAGUGGUACUUAUUUAUCUACUUGCACUUUGACAUGCUUUCGAACUGCUAGGUUAGCAGGAGCAGGGACUGAGCAAUGGGAGCUCAUCCCAUCACGGGGAUUCGAACCGCCGACCUUCCGAUCGGUAAAUCCUACAAAGAAGAGUGUAGUUUAUUUUAAACUUGAACUGCAUUCAAAGCGUUGUUACUCUUUACCUUCUUAGUCUUGUUUUAUCCUGUCUCUAACUCUUCUACCUCCCCUCACACAAGAACCAACUGCACUAACUGUCUCUCUAUUUCCAACUGUCAACUGCUUUCCCAACUGCCUUUCCCAACCAACCAACCAACCAACCAACCAACCAACCAACUAAAACUAACUAACCUCGGGCUAAGCCCUUUUAUAAACAGGUAGGCUCCGCCUCUGGCUUUUCUAUUGGUCUACCUAUUAACCCUUUCUCUCCCCCUGUACAGACAUUUCCAAAAGAACAGGCAAACGCCACAGGGGGGUGCUUUUGGGAGGUGGUGGGUCUGGCCCCCCACAGGUCUGAGGGACAGUGGACUUGCCCCCUCCUGAAAAAGUUUGCUGACCCCUGCAAUAGGGUGUACAAUAAUGUUGCCCCUGCUAAUCAGCUGUCAAAACAACCCCACAACAAAGGCGUAAAGUUUAUUCAAGGGCAAAAGAAAGACAUGCAGAAGCUUCCUUGUGCUGUUGUCCCACAAGGCUGCCUUUCUUAUAAAUGAAUGCCAGGCAGUUCAGGCAAGCUCAAACAGAAGCAGCUUCAUUUAAGUGCUGCAAACAAGAAGCCCUCCUUACUCCUAGGUCUCCAGGUCUGCACUUGCUUCCUCCUUCCCACCACAUGAUUUCCCCUCUUCCUAAUCAACACAUCUUUGCAUGAGAUUUUGUCUAAAAUACAUAUUUUUGCAAAGCAAUUUCUUCUUACAUCAUGCAUUUUUGCAUGCUGUUUUCAAUCAGCUCAUAUUGUUUGUUGUUCACGGAAGGCAGGCAGAGAAAACUGUCAGGGCAGGACAGAUCGGGAUGGCUGGUCCCAGGAAUAAGAGGGUAGAAGAGGGAGCCUGUAAAAAUAAAAGAAGUAAUAAACCUUCCAUAUUAAGUGAGGCACAAAAAAUCUCUCCUUGAAAGAGGCUGCUGGCUGAAAGGAACUGGACUGAAUUACAAGCUGUGGGGGCUGUAAUAUGAAAUCUAUUUGAGAAGUGGUGGAAGAGGGCUUGGGGUCAACAGACUCAUUUUGUUGAGGGCAUAUUUACAGAGGGCCUUUGAAUGACAAGGUCAAGGUAAAAGAAAAAGAAAAAGAGGGUAACUUAUUAUGUCCAUGGACUGCUCUGGAAAUGAGGGGAGCUGCUUCCAGUUUCCUCUGUGGAGUUGCCUCAUCAAAAUAUGAAAUAUUAGGCACUUUGGUCUCAGAGCUGCAUCCACAGAGUUCCUGAGAGCUGUGAUGUUCUUAAGCACCAGUCAUGAAAGUUAAACAUGGUAGACCUGGCAACUCUUUAUCUUUCUAUUCGCCACAAAAAUAAGCUUUGUUCUAGUGAGAAAGCAUAUGGCUAUAUUUAUUGUGACCCCAUACAGCCUGAGCAAAAAUAGAAGAGGACUGUCAUCCCUGGGGACUGACACAGGGCUCCCACUAGGUGGUGUUAAAGCCAGUUUGUGGUUCCUGGAUUUAAAAGACACAUACGGCAUCUUUUAUCCCGUUUGUUAUGUCUUUGGGCUUAUCCACACUUACAUUUCCUCUGGUUACAUUUUUUUUUUUUUUUUGGUCCAGAAUUUCCCCUACAAAAAUGCUUCUCUUGAUGAAAACCCAAACUGNNNNNNNNNNNNNNNNNNNNNNNNNNNNNNNNNNNNNNNNNNNNNNNNNNNNNNNNNNNNNNNNNNNNNNNNNNNNNNNNNNNNNNNNNNNNNNNNNNNNUAGCCAUGCCCAUUAAUUUCAGUGGGUAUACUCUGUGUCAAACUUAGUUGAAUACCACCCAGGGUUUCUUCUUUGUCGGGGGUGAGAGGACUGGAUAAUUUCAGCUAACUUGGUUCGAUGACUGAGCACACACAUCAAAGACAGGAAAUGCACUUGGAUGUAGAAUUGGGAAAUCUUACCACUGUCUGUUUCAAUAGCCUCAAGGUUUGAAAAGAGUUGAACACACACACACAGAGGCCACAAAGCGUGGGGUGCUGUGGAAGUUCUCCCACCGAUGUGUCCACAAAAGGCAAGCGAGAAAUGGCAAAGAAAAAGUGAACCGUUUCUUCGCUACAUUGAUGUCAUGGAUGAAAGAUGCAUCGGAGAGAAAAUACUUUUUGUCACUGUUGCUUGCUUGCUUGCUUUAAAAUACAACAGGCUUCUCAGUUCACAGGGCCAGAUCACCAACAUCACUCCAGCCAUCCUCCUCCUCUGUCCUAAUUCAAUAUGCAGGGAUGAUCUUACUUGAAAGUGGAUUAUAGGCUUGUAAAUCUAAUAGAGUAUUUCCUAUUUCCUCCUUGUGGUUUUUGCAGCAGCUAGGGCGCUUUCUGUUGAAGAGUGAUGAUUGACAAUUGUACUGAAGAAUCCCAGUGUUAUAAGGAAAACACAGAGCUCAGAGCCCAAAGUGGGUUGCAUAUAAAUACAAGAAUUAGAAUAAGAUAAUAAAUUAUUAUUAUUAGGGGCUUUCUUUUGCGUGUCCUAAAUCUUCCAACAAUUGGCUUCAUUGCAUGACCCCUGAGAGAGAGAGAGAGAGAGGGAGGAAAGCUUUCCCCUGUCCCCUUUCUCUACCCCAUGCAUAAGCUUGUCUCUCUCACCAUAUUUCUUCACCCUCCUGCAAAUAGUCACUUUCCCUUUAAGUUAAAAAGCCUCAGAUGCAGGGCCGGCUUCCCUAUGAGGCAGACUGAGGCAGCCGCCUCAGGCGGCAGAACCCAAGGGGCACCUCCAGAUGUGUCAUCCACUGCUGCUACAGAAACAAUGAGAAGCAGCUUGGCAGCUUCUGGAUAUUGUGAGAGCCCCACAAGAUCACAUGGAGGCCUCUGGAGGCCUCGCCGACGUCCUUGCCAGCAAGUCUUGGGAGUGGGGGGCUGAAUGCAGUGCAUGCCCAGGGCAGCACCUUUGCUUUUUGCCUCAGGCCGUGAAACAGGAUGGGUGGUCCCUGCUCAGAUGUAACCUGAGCAGGAGUUGCUUCAACUCCUUGGCCAUCUUGGUUGUCCUUUUUUGCUACCAUACAGUGGUACCUCAGGUUAAGAACUUAAAUCGUUCUGGAGGUCCGUUCUUAACCUGAAACUGUUCUUAACCUGAGGUACCACUUUAGCUAAUGGGGCCUCCUGCUCCCGCCGGUGCACGAUUUCUGUUCUCAUCCUGGGGCAAAGUUCUUAACCCGAGGUACUAUUCCUGGCUUAGCAGAGUCUGUAACCUGAAGCGUCUGUAACUUGAAGCAUCUGUAACCUGAGGUACCACUGUAUAUGUAUGUACAUUCUUAAGGAAAUCAGCCCUGAGUGCUCACUGGAAGGACAGAUCCUGAAGCUGAGACUCCAAUACUUUGGCCACCUCAUGAGAAGAGAAGACUCCCUGGAAAAGACCCUGAUGCUGGGAAAGAUGGAGGGCACAAGGAGAAGGGGAUGACAGAGGACGAGGUGUUUGGACAAUGUUCUCGAAGCUACUAGCAUGUGUUUGACCAAACUGCAGGAGGCAGUGGAAGACAGGAGUGCCUGGAGUGCUGUGGUCCAUGGGGUCAUGAAGAGUCAGACACGACUAAACAACAACAAAAUGUAUGUACACACUGGACACAUUAAUACUCAUUAAUACUCAACUAUCCUCAACCUGCAGGGUAAUGCCAGCAUUGCUCAGCUUCAGGUCUUCUGAGCAUUCCAGCCUCCAAGCGGUAUAAGUGCCACCUGGGAAAAGCAUCAUUUUUUAUCAGAGCAAUUGAUGGAAGGCAGAAGCUGAAAUUUUAUUAUUUAUUUAUUUCCUGGAUUUAUAUACCGCCCGAUACCCGGAGGUCUCAGGGUGGUUCACCAAAAAAUCAUGAUACAUAAAAUCAAAAUAAAAGCAAUGAUCCAAUAAUACCCCCCCCAAAAGAGCCACAUUUUAAAAGGGUAUGGGAUGUUGAUCAGGUCAACCAAAGCCCUGGUUAAAAAGGAACCCUGGGGAGAGCAUUCCACAGAUGGAGAGCCACUGCAGAGAAGUCCCCGUUCUCGUGUUGCCACCCUCCGGACCUUUCGAGGAAGGGGCACACGAAGGAGGGCCUCAGAAGAUGAUCUCAGGGUCUGGGUAGGUUCAUAUGGAAAGAGGCGAUCCUUGAGGUAUUGCGGUCCUGAGCCAUUUAAGGCUUUAUAGGUCAAAACCAGCACUUUGAAUUGGGCCCGGAAACUAAUUGGUAGCCAGUGCAGUCGGACCAGGAUCGGCCAGAAUGAAAUGCUUUGCUAUAGCCAUUUUAAAUUUCUGUUAGGCAAGUCACUGGCUUUAAUAAUAAUAAUAAUAAAUUUUAUUUAUAUCCCGCCCUCCCCAGCCGAAGCCGGGCUCAGGGCGGCUAACAACAAUAAAACAGUACAAAAGUAUAGCAUAAACAACAGUCUAAAAUCAUUCGUUAUAAAAUUCAUUAAUUCAAGCCACUGGCAACCAUUGGGCCAGAGCUCCGCGAAGAUUGCCGAGGGAGGGAGUCAGGCUGUGCCCUGGCCAAAGGCCUGGUGGAACAGCUCUGUCUUGCAGGCCCUGCGGAAAGAUGUCAAGUCCCGCAGGGCCCUGGUCUCUUGUGACAGAGUGUUCCACCAGAUCGGAGCCACAGCCGAAAAAGCCCUGGCUCUAGUUGAGGCCAGCCUAACUUCUCUGGGGCCUGGGACCUUCAAGAUGUUUUUAUUCGAAGACCGUAAGUUUCUCUGUGGGCCAUACCAGGAGAUUUUAGUGAUUAAAUACAUGCUACCACAAUCCAGAGCAAACUUGUCUGAAGUUCUGUUUGAGGAUUUCUAUGUCUACCUAAAACUCUACGUUGCAAGCUCAGCAUUUCUAAUAAUACCCCCCUACCCCAUUGCUUGCCUCCGAAAAUUGGGGAUGCUACGGAAUGUUUCAUCAAUCAAACCCACUCAGAUCGCAACCAAAUCUUUUGUAGACUGUUUCUGUUCAAUGCAUAUUUAUUGGUUCAGCAAAAAAGUAGGUGAGCCUCUCUGAUUAACCAUGUGAAGUAUCUGGGACGGCUGCAACUGGCGUACAAUUUUAGAUAAACACUCAAGGCAUAUGUUUAAAAAUUCAGAAAGCCGUCAUAACAUUUCACAGGCUACACAUUUCAGGCUGUUUUGAAAAAUCUUCAUUUCUGAAAGGGAAGACAAGACUUGUAAGAGCUGGAAGGAAGAUUCAGCCUAUAUUUUAAAUCUCAAAUGUAUAAUAGUUGAUGAUUCCCCCCUCACUAAGUAUUUGUAUUAUUUUAUUUUUUUCAGAUUUAGCUUUUUCGUGAGGUUUAGAUUUAGCUAUUUUGUGAGGCGGCGGCAGAACUUUAUUAAAUGGCAGCGCACAGUUCUUUAUAAAAAUGACAAAACAAUCACAACGAAAAGAAAACAAACAAUAAAAUCGCACAGCUAAAAAUUGAUUUUCGACUGUGUCAGCUUCCGCAUGUGCAACUAACUGUAAAAGUUCUUGAAGAAAUCCAGUCUGUUUUUAUUGUAAGUCGCCAUGAAUCACUUUUGUGGAAAAUAUAACAAAUUGAUAAUAUAACAGUAACAAUAAUAUUUUACCAAUAGAAAAGAAAUAUUACCGACCAGUUUUUGUUAAAUUCUUUUUUCUUGCCUUUUAAAAUAAAGUCAAGUUGCAAAAAGCAAGAUUGUAAUGUGCGCACACAAGUCAUUAGCAGUCAAUUCAAUAUGAAUAAAGUAAUAUCACAAUGAAUAAAAUAAAAUCACAUCUGUGUAGGUCACCAAAUGUUUGUCUAAAUGAAAAGGGUUCCACUGCCCCCUAAAACCACUAGUUAGGUAAAGGAUGCCUGGACGGUUAAGUCCAGCCAAAGUUAACUAAGGGGUGUGGCACUCAUCUUGCUUCAGGCCGAGGGAGCUGGCGUUUUCCACAGACAGCUUUCCGGGUCAUGUGGCCAGCAUCAUUAAACAACUUCUGGCACAAUGGGACACUGUGACGGAAACCAGAGCACACAGAAACACUAUUUACCUUCCCACCACAGUGGUACCUAUUUAUCUACUUGCACUGGUGUGCUUUGAACUGCUAGGAUGGCAGGAGCUGGGACCGAGCAACGGGAGCUCACUCAGUCACGGGGAUUCGAACUGCCGACCUACCGAUCUGCAAGCCCAAGAGGCUCAGUGGUUUAGACCACAGGGCCACCCGGCUUAUCUGGAAAAGAAAUUCCACACCAUAGGGAGAACUGGCAAGAGGUUCUUUGUCCUGUGUUCUGAUGGACCCAUAGGCAGAAAUCACCUCCCCCCCAAAAAAAGUGGGGAGCGCUACCUGCUGUUUGAAAAGUUUGCUUCGCUUGUGCCCCUGCCCCACCUGAAUGUGCUCCAUCUCUCUCUCCAUCCUAUUUUUCUAGGCAGCUGAAAUAACAGAAUCUUCAUUUUCCUUUGCAUAACACAGAAUCCCAUUGUUUUGAAGUACGAAGCUUGCAAUGUGUGUGCAAAAUAAAGCAAGAAAGGGCAGGUGGGGGGCAUCAGACCUAGAGCCAAGAAAUGCUCUUAAGCCCUAACUUGCCAGAGGUAAACUUCGUGCCUUUACAAUACAAAGGAGCAGGCAAAUCCUGUUUACUGAUUGUUUGAAUUAAACUAAUCUGGAUUUGCCUUGAAGAGACUUGCCUUCCUCAACCAGAGCACCUGGGUUUUCAAAGGAGAAGCUAUGCUUCAUUUCAAACGCAAAACAACAUUUAACUAUCUGCAGACCUCAAUAUCCUUGCAUUCUUGAUAUGUGGCAAAUUCAGGGUGGAUUGUUCCAAUUAUAAAGAACGCAAGAAUGAGUCCUUCUGGAUCAGAACCAGAGACCCACCUGGUCUAACAUCCUGUUUUCAGAGUGGUCAACCAGAUGCAUAUGGGAAGCUCACAAGUAGGACCUGAGUGCAAGAAUACAUACUAUACUAUACAGAAAAUAGAAACUGCAUAGAGGUUCACUGCGAGAAGUGAUGUGACAGGGAACCAGGCAGAGGGCCUCCUCAGUGGUGGCACCCUCACUGUGAAACACCCUCCCAUCAGAUGUCAAAGAGAUAAAUAACUACACAACUUUUAGAAGACACCUGAAGGCAACCUUGUAUCAGGAUGCUUUCAAUGUUUGAUGUUUUAUUAGGUUUUUAUAUGUGUUGGAAGCCGCCCAGAGUGGCUGGGGCAACCCAGCCAGAUGGGCAGGGUAUAAAUAGAAUUAUAAUUAUAAUAAUUAUUUUAUUGCAACACACAACAUCACUCUCCCCACUGUGGUGUAGUGGUUAAGGAGCGAUAGACUCGUAAUCUGAUGAACCGGGUUUGCGUCUCCACUCCUCCACAUGCAGCUGCUGGGUGACCUUGGGCCAGUCACACUUCUUUGAAGUCUCUCAGCCCCACUCACCUCACAGAGUGUUUGUUGUGGGGGAGGAAGGGAAAGGAGAAUGUUAGCCGCUUUGAGACUCCUUCGGGUAGUGAUAAAGCGGGGAUAUAAAAUCCAAACUCUUCUUCUUCUUGUGAUUCCUAGCAGCUAGCUCCAGCUGUGUUAAGUAGAACAUAGUGGGUCAAUGACUACAAGCCAGAAUGGCUAUUUAUUUGUCUAGUUCACUUUAAUUGUCAAAGUGCGAUGUGAACAAAUAUCUAGGCUGAUAGUGAGCUUCUUGUGAAAUGGUUAUAUCAUUGCAUGUUCAGUUUUUACUAUACCGUUGUAGAAACUCUGUCUGGAAAUCUUCUUGGGUAGAACAGUAAAACUUGGCCACAGUAUUGGUUAAUUGUACGAUUCAUUCACAAAGAUUACCUCAACUUCUGUUGUUAAUGCUGUAUUGUUUUUAAUAUUUGAUUGGGAGCCGCCCAGAGUGGCUGGGGAAACUCAGCCAGAAGGGCAGGGUAUAAAUAAUAAAUUACUAUUAUUAUUGUUACAGUAACUGGCGUAAAAAAAGGCCCGUGACCCCCUCCUCAAUGUCAGACUAUAACUACUAUCAUCUGUGACCACUGACCCUGCUGGCUGGGGCUGAUGGGAGAUGGAGUCCCGAUACCCCUGUAUGGCCACAGUUACCCAACUCCUGGGUGGAAUCUAGACACACAUAAAAAAAAUUGUGAAAACGCUUUUUUUAAAAAAAAACUUUUGGAAAAUAUAUUGAAUUUGCCAUAGCUCACCAUCACCAUCUAGUGUCAAAUUUGUAUAAUGCACUUUACAACACACUUAAAACGUUUUAUUUUUCAGCUGUGUAGCUGAGUCCCUGAUUUGCACCGCCCACAGUCAUUUACACAAUUUGCUCCUCCAGCAACUCCUCCAGCAAUUGAUCUACCUACCAUUUUAAUCUCAAUUAAACAGGGAGAGGGAGUGCUUUCAAAUGACGGGAAAUAGGAUUAUUACAUUGCUCAACAUGGCAAAAGAAGCCUUUGACAGCUCCUUCCCUUAGAGGAACAGAUUUCAAGUUGGCGUUGUUCUUUAUAGUUACACCGGUGGCGUGUUAAAAGAGCAGCGUUUACAGCUGAAGCAGGAUGAAACUGACAAGACCAUAUGUCUUUCCCUGUCUUCAAGGUUACUUCUGUUUUCAAGUGAGGUUCUGACAAUGUUAUCCCUUCUUAAGGCUUCAGUAGCAGCCGCAGUUGGAGAUUAAAAUCUUAAAGAGCAUUUAAUUGUCAGUUACCAGACUGGACUAGAAAGGAAUUUCCACCUAUAUUGUAUUAAAAAAAAUAGAUAAAAUUAAUUUGCAAUAGUUUCACCAGUAAGGACUAAUUUAAAGAAGAAUACUUGGAAGGUAAUUUAAUGAUCAGCAGUUUUAACUGGGGCUGUGAAUGGCUUUCCCAAUCUGACUUGGGAACCCAAUCUGGUGGUUCUGAAUUGACCCUGUUCUGACACAGGACAAUCUGAGGUUUACCCAAUCUGGAUCCGAGACAUUGGCCAAAUAUAGAACCACAGACUGUUGUUGUUUAGUCGUUUAGUCGUGUCCGACUCUUCGUGACCCCAUGGACCAGAGCAUUCCAGGCACUCCUGUCUUCCACUGCCUCCCGCAGUUUGGUCAAACUCAUGUUGGUAACUUCGAGAACACAGUGAGAGCUGGACCAUAAAGAAGGCUGAUCGCCGAAGAAUUGAUGCUUUUGAAUUAUGGUGCUGGAGGAGACUCUUGAGAGUCCCAUGGACUGCAAGAAGAUCAAACCUCUCCAUUCUGAAGGAAAUCAGCCCUGAGUGCUCACUGGAAGGACAGAUCGUGAAGCUGAGACUCCAAUACUUUGGCCACUUCAUGAGAAGAGAAGACUCCCUGGAAAAGACCCUGAUGUUGGGAAAGAUGGAGGGCACAAGGAGAAGGGGACGACAGAGGACGAGAUGGUUGGACAGUGUUCUCGAAGCUACCAGCAUGAGUUUGACCAAGCUGCAGGAGGCAGUGGAAGACAGGAGUGCCUGGCGUGCUCUGGUCCAUGGGGUCACAAAGAGUCGUGACUAAACGACUAAACAACAAUUCCAAUUGCAGUUUGUCAGGGGUUGAGCAAUCCUGUUUACGUAGCUCAAGAUCAAGCUUGAGCCAAGGCCAAAGGGUUGUUGACCCCCUUUCAGGUCAGAAUAGAUGUUUGCUGGGCUUCAUUUGUUCAGAAGUCAGGCCACCCUUCUCCCCUCUCACCCCUGAUAAUCUUCUUGCUUCUUAGAAACUCCCUCACCCUUCCCACUCUGACGAUCUCCCUGCCUAACUGAAGAAGGCAAUCAGCUAUAAUAAUACUAAUAAUUUUAUUAUUUAUACCCUACCCAUCUGUCUGGGUUUCCCUAGCCACUCUGGGCAGCUUACAACAUAUCUAAAAACAUAAUAAAAGCAUCAAUCCUUUAAAACUUCCCUAAACAGGGCUGCCUCAGAUGUCUUCUAAAAGUCAGAUAGUUGUUUAUUUCCUUGACAUCCACAGAGGGGACUCUACUGCCCUCUGCCUGGUUCCUCUGCCUGGUUCCCUGUAACUUUGCUUCUCUCAGUGAGGGAACCAGCAGAAGGCCCUCAGAGGAGAACCAAAGGCAGAACGAUGGGGGUGGAGACACUCCUUCAGGUAAACUGGGCCGAGGCCAUUUAGGGCUUUAAAGGUCAGUACCAACACAUUGGAAGACAGAAGUGCCUGGCAUGCUCUGGUCCAUGGGGUCACAAAGAGUCGGACAUGACUAAACGACUAAACAACAACAACAACCAACACUUUGAAUUGUGCUUGGAAACGUACUGGGAGCCAAUGUAGGUCUUUCAGGACCAGUGGUAUAUGGUCUCAGAGGCCACUCCCAGUCACCAGUCUAGCUGCCACAUUGUGGAUUAGUUGUAGUUUCCGAGUCACCUUCAAAGGUAGCAUUGCAGUUGUCCAAGCGGGAGAUAACCAGAGCAUGCACCACUCUAGUGAAACAGUCUGCGGGCAGGUAGGGUCUCAGCCUGUGUACCAGAUGGAGCUGGUAGACAGAAUUGACCUCCAUGGACAGCUGUGAGUCCAAAAUGACUCACUGGCUGCACACCUGGUCUUUCAGGGGCACAGCUACCCCAUUCAGGUUUAGGGAGUCCUCCACCCCCUCCUGUACCCUGUCCCCCAAAAACCAUACUUCUGUUUUGUCAGGAUUCAACCUCAAUCUGUUAGCCACCAUCCACCCGCCAACCGCCUCUGUCAGCAAAUGAAUGAGCACAGGUGGCACGAUGAUCCAUUAGUCCUCCCGUAUGGAACACCUGCUGCAAUUUCCUUUGUAGUUACAACUUGGCGACAGCUGGUCUCGUAACAGUUUCACUCUGUGGAGAAGAGAUGCCUGGUAUGCGGCUGAAAUAAAAAUGGAUGCGUGUGCCAAGUGUUCGAUUGAGUUGUCCUCUCCCCACGAGGCCCAGGACUCAAAGACCUUUUGCCAAGUUGAUGUGAAGUUGCAGGCACUUAGAACCUUUGAAGGUCAAGCUUCAGGCAUUAAGGAUUUUGUACACUUGUAGGUCUAAGCUAGUGAGUUUCAGUGUCUCAUCUUGAAUUUCUGGUCCUACUCUUGGGAUUUUAACAACUGUCUGGCACAGAGAAAUUAAGUGGACAACCUAUUUGUCCUUCAUUUUGGGUGCUUCCAAAUGGGGGAUUUAUAUUGUAAACAGGUUGUUUGAAUGUCACAAACCAGGAGAAAUGGCAGGAACUUGAGAUGGGAGGGGUGAAAAGGUGGUGGUGGGGAUAUUUCAUGCUGAUGGACAGCUUUUCAUCACAGUGAAUUAUUUCCAGGGCACUUCAGUCUCAGUGAUUUGCAGAGGAGAAUAAAAACUAUUUGUUUUUGUUUUUUUGCAUGGAUCUAUGAUUUCCUCAAUCAGCCCUGAGUGCUCACUGGAAGGACAGAUCCUGAAGCUGAGGCUCCAAUACUUUGGCCACCUCAUGAGAAGAGAAGACUCCCUGGAAAAGACCCUGAUGUUGGGAAAGAUGGAGGGCACAAGGAGAAGGGGACGACAGAGGACGAGAUGGCUGGACAGUGUUCUCGAAGCUACCAACAUGAGUUUGACCAAACUGCGGGAGGCAGUGGAAGACAGGAGUGCCUGGCGUGCACUGGUCCAUGGGGUCACAAAGAGUCGGACGCAACUAAACAACAACAACAAAUGAUUUCCUCUGUGCAUGCCAAAUGGGGUGAUCACUCCCCCCCUCCCAGGAGGAAGAGACUGUAUCCCUGAAUAGCCACCUGUGGUGUACGGGCUGAAGAAAGCUUUUGAAGCUCCCGAACAAUCGACCAGGAGGGAGAGAGCAUGCCAGUCAGGGAUGUGUCUCUGCCAGGGUCCUACUCGAGUGUAGGAUGAGCUCCUGACAGUAUCUGCCCGGAAUAUGACAGGGUUCAUCCAUGCUAAGGGAGCUGCUAUGGCUGAAAAUUUAAUCCAGUUGUGGGAGGGUGGGAGGUUGCAGUUAUUUUUUAGAUUUUAGAAAAACUCUUACUCAGUACCUAACAAUGUCAAAGAAUCAUAAAUUGUAGAGUUAGAAGGGACCCCGAGGGUCAUCUACUUUAACCCCUGGCAAUGCAGGAAUCUCAGCUAAGUGCAUCCACGACAGAUGGCCAUCCAACAUGUGCUUAAAAACCUCUAAGGAAAGAGAGUCCACAAAAUUUAGGGGCUGAACAGACAUUUGGAGUUUCAGGAAUAGUAUGUGAGCAGUACACAAUUUCGGCCGAAAGCUGAAAUAGAUGUGCUUUAAAAGUGCUUAGCUUUUGCCAGAUCAUACAAAUCAUCUUUAUAAAAUUUGUUGGUACCCAAAAAAUUGAAUUUUGGGGUUUUUAGCUGGAAUAUAUAAAAAGGAUGUAAUCAAAAGUCCUGCGGUCGAUGAGGACUUGUUAUUUUCCAUUACAAAAGUGCUCCAGAAGCACAUGGGAAAUCCUUAUUGCAAUGUUCAUUAUGACAGCAGGGAAGUCCCUGAGUACUACCCUUUCCAUGGAGAUACACACACACACACACACACACACACACACGUAUACACACACACCUGAUGAAUCCUGCAGCAAAGUCCAAUCUGUGUUUUUUUAAUAAGUUCACCUGACAUCCAUAAAGCAUGCUGCCAAGUAAACAUGCACAAGAUUUCACCCGAAGGAUAAUUUCCAAGUACAUUUCAAGAAAAACCCAGCUGGCAGCCUUACUCUGUGAUUAUGGGAUGAAAAGACAGUAUUCUGGAGCAGAGAGGUGCAUGUUUACACAAUGCGUCUACUGUAUUUUGUGCAGAGGGCACAGGUUAUAUUUGAGACAGCCAGAUGCAAUCUGUUGUCGAUCAGAGUUGAAGAUGGUGGCUGCUGAAUAGCUGUCUUCAGACAAUAUACAUUUGAUUAACUAGAGCUCAGCAUCCACCUUGGAUGGUUUUCCCUUUUUCUUUUCUGUUAAUUUUUUUUAUACAUAAAAUCAUCUGUGUGUCCUCUUUGUAUUAAGCCCCCUGCACUCCUUAGCUGAAUUAAAAUUGUCUGUCUGCGGCGAGAUGAGACAAUAUGAAGAAUUCAGAGGGAUUACGGUAAUUAUUCAAAAUUGCAUUGUGGAAAGGUAAACAGCCGCAAACAGCUGUUGGGACAAGUUAUUCAGGUGCUUGUUUUUUUCACUUUUGAGGUAGGGGAGGAGGAGGAGGAGGAGAAGAAGAAGAAGAAAUCAGCCCAUUUUGUUGUUGCCAAGUCAAAUGUGUGAAGGCUGUGAAAAACAGGAGAAUUUAUUUAAGGGAAACAAUUGGCAGGGUAUCUGAGUCAAGGAGCACCUCUCUGUGGGACAAGGCAAGAUGAACAUUCCAGGGCAUCGUGGUAAAAAGACACGAUGGUUUGAAUGUACAGAAGACAGGGUUAGGGAGAAGUGGAUUUCUCUGCUCCCUUCACUGCGCUGCAGUUCCCUGAAAAGACUCCUUCAAGGAAUGUGGGAGCCAGAGAUGCCAACUUGAAUAAAAUAUCCCCCUCCAAUAAUCAAUGACAAGACAUGGGACAUGCACACCAUUUGAAUGGCAAUGCCCAUCAACUUUGGGGGACACUGGGCCCCCUCAAAUAUUUUACUGGGGUGGCUGAAGGGACCUCAGCCCCUAGGAGUUGGCUCCUAUGGUGGGACCCUUUGAAUGGGGUGGGCUUUGGUGUGAGGUAGGGCAGAACAUGGAAGGAGGGAGGUGGAGGUUACAUCUUCUGUUUUGGGGAAAGUGUCUUCCACCUGAUUUCACAGUAUCCCCUCCCCUUUCCCUCUCAGCUCCCCAUAUCACUGUUGGGAUAUAGUUCCGUUCCCUCUUAAAAGGGAACAGGCAUGACUGUUGUGUGUCACAUGCCUGUUUACUUCCAGCACUUGCUGGGAACUUCCGUUUGUAUAUUGCUUUUGCUUUUAGCUGUUUUGCUGGAGACGAAGGGAAGCAGACAUGUUUUCCUUUGUUCCUGAACUAUGCUGAAUAAAAUGCUGUAGAUAAUGCUUACACAUGGCUCUGUCCGCCUCUUCCAUUGUGAGAAGAUUUAUUCACUCUGCUGAUAGAGCGUGCACAAGUCUCUAAACAUAUCCGAGGCUCAUGUCGCUGUUUGAUGCUGUUCCAAGGGAGACCGGUGAUCGCCCGGCUGCCGGCCAGUGGCUGGAGCCAGCUGGGGGCCUGCCUGAUGCCCCCGUCUCCCCGGCAGUAUCCCAAGAUGCAUUUCUCUUCAGCCAGUUCUGUUUCUAUAAAUGUGAGGUUGAAUGUCUUACGCAGUUAAACAUGUCAGCUGGAAAAAAGAGACACUCUUGCGCAUUCCCAUAUCCAUGCAGUUGGGGGCAGUGUUGCUUGGGGGGAGCCUGGUCUCUUUGCCAGAAGUGAGGGACCCCUCCCCCCCAAUGCCUGGCCUUGCACUCUCUGCAGCAGGGUAAGCCAAUGUAACCACAUCGUAACCUUCCAGACAUUGCUGGACUACAAAUCUUAACAUCCCUGACCAUUGGCCGUGCUGGCUGGGGCUGAUGGGAGUUGUAGUUCAACUGCAUCUGGAGGGCACCCCAUUGGCUGGCCCUGCUCUAGAGCCAGCCCAGGCUUCAAAGCUGCAAAGUGAUGGAAAAGCCAAAUUUAAACAGAUGUUGGCCAUGACCUCCACCACUUCAUAUGUAUCUUGAAGCAAUAAGCAGCUUUCCUGUUAGCACUUCCCCUCUUAAAAUAUUUGCUUUUGCCAGAGGGUGUUGCUGUAGCGUUUAGGAGGGAUGCAGGUCCACAAAGCCGUGAUUGCUCUUUAGUGCUCUGGUUUCUCCCCAGCCGUUUACUUUUCCACCCACUUUUCAAGGGAUCCAAUAUUUGCAUGUCUCUUCUCAUCACCCGGAGAGUCAUCAGCUACUGCUGUGCCUUUAUUACUGUUUUGGACAACCAUUUCUAGGACAACUUCUUGAAAGUGCUCUCACAAACCACCUUCCUUGAGCAAAGGCACACCAUCUGUGGGAGUCAGGGGUGUACCAGUUGAAAUUAUUUCUUAUACAGUGGUACCUUGGGUACUUAAUUCGUUCCGGAGGUCCGUUCUUAACCUGAAACUGUUCUUAACCUGAAGUACCACUUUACCAGAUGGGGCUUCCUGCUGCUGUCGCGCCGCCGGAACACGAUUUCUGUUCUCAUCCUGAAGCAAAGUUCUUAACCUGAAGCACUAUUUCUGGGUUAGCGGAGUCUGUAGCCUGAAGCGUAUGUAAUCUGAAGCGUCUGUAACCUGAGGUACCACUGUAAUCCCACCAAAUGGCCACACUAAUGUUUUUCUCUUGCUCCUGAUGCUCACCUCAAUCAUUCUCGACCGUUUAAAGCCCUACCCACAAGCCCCAGGAAGAUGAUGUAAACCGGAAAGAAAUCUCUGGGAUAGCUUAAUUGGCAGAGCAUGAGGCUGUUAAUCUCAGGGAUGUGGGUUCUUCAAGCUCCAUGUUGGGCAAAAGAACUGCCUGCAUUGCAGAUGGUUGGAACAGACAACCUUUGAGGUCUCUUCCAACUCUGUGAUUCUGAAGGAUUUUAUUGCUGCUGUCAUCCUAGUACAGGGAUAGGGGAACCUGUGGUCCUCCACAUGUUGCUGAACAACACCUUCCAUCAUCUCUGGUCACUGAGUUAUGUUCCCUGGGAUUGAUGGGAGCUGCAUCUCAUUCAGCAACAUCUGAGGUUAGUCACCUCUGUCUUUAUGCCUUACUGUUGUGUUUUAAAGUCCAUUGUUCUGGCUGAUCCGUGAUCAUAAUAAAUAUUAGAUUGGAAAGUGCAUUGCCAAAGAAAUGUGGAAGAUACGAUACAUAUUGAAUUUAUAAAUGAUGGUGAUGCUGAUAAUAAUAAUAAUAAUAAUAAUAAUAAUAAUAAUAAUUAAUAAUAGUGCAGCUACACCAACUUCCCACCCUCUUUUCUCCUCUGCCCCUCCCAAAAUUUGCUUCACUGGCAAACAGCUUACCUGUCAAUCAUUUAGUGGAAGAAUAAUGUUCCAAGAAUAAUAGAGAGAGGAAAAUUCACUUAGGUGAAUGGUUUACUAAAACAUGUCCAUCUCUUAUUCAGAUCAUCUUCAUAUUAUUUGUAGCAGGCAUCAACCGGUAAUGCAAUCAUUUUUUCAGAGAUGAGAUUUGGCAGGGAGACGGUCGGAGAUUAUUUUUGCAAGGAGUGUCCCUCUUUUAGUUACGUGGCAAGUCUCUAAAAACUGGUAACUAGAUCAGGAAGGCGUUUUUGUGCAACUUUCCUUUCAUGAUAUCCUCUCAAUGCCAUUACUGUACAGCAUCAAGGUGACCUGCAAGAUGACCUGCAGAAUCGAGCAACAACUUCUCUUUCAUUCUUUCUGACAAUGGCUUGCAUAUUACUCAAUGGCAAGGUGGACAGUGGGAUGUUGCUUUUGUGUGGUGGCUAUUUUUAUGGACCUCUGGUUGGUUGCAUUACUUCUGCUUACCAGGAGGGAGAGGCAAUGGGCAAGGUUGGCGUGGUGCAAACACACCAGCUAAACCCACCCAGAGUUUCUGCCAGUGCAUUUGCACCCCAACGACCUCGCUGCUUCUUCCCCUCUACGUCCUGGUAAGCACCGCAAUUCAAAACAAUCAAACACCAGGUGAAUGGCUCCUCUCUCACCAUGCCAUCUGCUACUGGCAAGAGUUGGCUUCCUGAUUUGGGUGUCCACUAUUCAACUCUUGCUUUCAAAGGAAAUAAUGACUGCAAAAUUUAACUUAAUUGUGAGUUACAUUCAGCCAAGUCCUACUCAGUGUAGACCCAUUAAGAUCAACGAAGCAAACUUAAACAUGCCCAUUUUAUUUAAAUACAGUCGUACCUCAGAAGUCAAACGCCUUGCGAGUCAAACGUUUUGGCUCCCGAAUGGUGCAAACCCUGAAGUGAGUGUUCUGGUUUGUGAAUGUUCUUUCAGAACCUGAACGUCCGACAUGGCUUCUGCAGCUUCCGAUUGGCUGCAGGAGGUUCCUGCAGCCAAUUGGAAGCCGCGUCUUAGUUUCUGAACGUUUUGGAAGUCGAACGGACUUCCCGAACAGAUUACGUUCGACUUCCGAGGUACAACUGUACAAAAAUAUUUAUAUACUGCUAUUAGUUUUUUUUUUAAAUAAAUCCAGAGCGGUUUACAAUGAAAGUACAUAAACAUGCAGUAAAAACUGCAUUAAAAAGUUGAAAUCAAUCAUUAACAUCAAUGGGUCUCUUCUGAGCAGUACUAGCAUUGAAUGCCCCUGUCACAAAGUAGUGUGUGAAUCAGAUCUUCUGGUUGUACAGACCAUCAAGCUUAAAAAAUUAAUAAGUUAUAGAGAAUCACCUGACCCAAUUUGGCAAUUAGUAUAAAGAGGCAUCUUGGGUCAAGGCUGUCGCGAAUUCUUUGCGGCGCUUUAGCAGAAAUGCUCAAGUCCCAGGUUCUUCAGUGCAGUAUUAUUUAUUGUGAGCUAUAUACAGUGGUACCUCGGGUUAAGUACUUAAUUCGUUCCGGAGGUCCGUUCUUAACCUGAAACUGUUCUUAACCUGAAGUACCACUUUAGCUAAUGGUGCCUCCCACUGCCGCCGCGCCGCCAGAGCAUGAUUUCUGUUCUCAUCCUGAAGCAAAGUUCUUAACCUAAAGCACUAUUUCUGGGUUAGCAGAGUCUGUAACCUGAAGCGUAUGUAACCUGAAGCGUAUGUAACCCGAGGUACCACUGUAUAUACCAAUAUCUAUAGAAGCAGUUCAGACAGUCAGACAGAGUACUUGGCUGCACCUUAAGGCAAAUAGGAAGACUCUUUCUCUCUGACCACACUCCUCUACACCACCAUUACUGCUGGACAGGUUUCCCUUUUAAACCGAUGACAGCCAAUCAACUGUCAGCACAUUACUACUGAGUCAUUCUGACCCAGCACCUCCAUAGAAAGUAUUGCAUCAGCCUGUUGCAUCAACUAGCAAACUCAAGCCUGUAGACUUACUAUCUUACACAGCAUUCUGUGAAUCCCGACAAAGGCUGCCACCUUCCCUGACAUCCUUCAGGCAACAGAUCAAGGCCUAUUGUGGAUUUGAGUUCUGAUAUAUGCCAUUGAUUAUACCAUAUCUCUGAUAGUGGCAAUACAUAACGCCCCCACAGUGUGAUCUUGAAUUAUUUCUGGUCCCUCAAAAGUUCCUUGUUCCCCUCUCAUGUUAUUCAACAUGGACCCACUGAAUAGCUUUGUGUGUUGGAGUAUGGACUUGAUCAUGACAUCAUCUUCCACAUAUUAAAGUGUAGAAUGAAUAGAUGACCCCUUUUCUGACCAAAUUGAGACGUCCAUGCUUUUAUUAAAGCACUAAUUUUCUAUUAUGUAGAUAAAAUCUACUCUAAAAUCAAAGCACUCUCUUCCUGUAAUAAUGCUGAUUUUUUUUGAUUAUUAUUAUUUAAAUGAAUGGCAGCCAAAGGUUAUGCAUGAAUUUUAAUUAUCCAUUAUAAUAUGGAAUUUGUUUUAGGCAAAAACUGUAGUUUUUAUACAGAGGCAGAUUUAGGGGAGCGCAACCAGUUCAUCCGCACCCACUCUGCCUCAGAGGGUUGCUGCAGGGGGUGCUGUAGCAAUGACGGGAAAAUGGAAGGUGAGAGGCGAGGGGGGAGGCGAAUUUUGGCAUCGCCUCUGAAAUGUUAAAGCCCAAAGUCUGCCACUGGUUGUAUAUCUGGCUUGGAAAAAUAAAGCUAAGCUGUAAUAAUGACUGACAUCUAUAGGAUUCCUCGUUUGUAUGGCCUUCGUAUACAAAAGUUUGCUUAACUAACUGAGCAAUCUUAACCAUAGGAAGUCAGUGUAACUUACCCUGGCAUAAGGUAAAGGGACCCCUGACCAUUAGGUCCAGUCGCAGACGACUUUGGGGUUGCGGCGCUCAUCUCGCUUUAUUGGCCGAGGGAGCCAGCGUACAGCUUCCGGGUCAUGUGGCCAGCAUGACUAAGCCACUUCUGGUGAACUGGAGCAGCACAUGGAAACGCCGUUUAUAUUCCCGCCGGAGCAGUACCUAUUUAUCUACUUGCACUUUGACGUGUUUUCGAACUGCUAGGUUAGCAGGAGCAGGGACCGAGCAACGGGAGCUUACGCCGUCACGGGGAUUCGAACCGCCAACCUUCUGAUCAGCAAGUCCUAGGCUCUGUGGUUUAACCCACAGCGCCACCCACAUACCCUGGCAUAAGUUACCCCUAUUCCAAAUUCCUGUUAGGAGCCUCAGCUGCUAUUAAUCUUAAAAAAAAUGUAAAAAUCUUUAAAAAUUUAAAGCACUGGGAACUUCAGUCAUGGAUUUCCAAUUGUCAUGUCUAGUUGAGCUCCAAGAGUGUUGGCAAUGUUUAAAGACUUUGGGUUGCAUUCGGCUAAGUCCUACAUAAAGUUAACAAACCUAAGUUAGUCCUGUACAUUAACUUCAGUGGGUCUACUCUGAGUAGGACUAGCAUUAAUACCACCCAUUUACUGAACGUGUUUUGUUUUUUUAAAACACACCUUGAUUAAUCUGCAGGAAAAGUACAAGUUAAUUUAAAUCGAUUUCACAUAUCAAAUUGAUCUCCCAUGGGAUGAAAUAUAAGGAAUCAAUGUUUCCGUACAGCUUUAUUCUGAGGAUAUUAGGUUGCAAUUGAUGUGUUUGUGGUGUGGAGCCUCAGCUGAUACAAAGCAAGUCUUGACUCCUCACAUCAGAACAAUAGAAUAAAACAAAGUUGGGGAGUCUCGGGUCUGAGGAUUGAUUGUGGCCCCCCAAUCUCCAUAUCAGGCCCUUGGGACUGUUCCCUGGGUUAUGCCCUCUCCCAGGACACCAGCCUUUCUCUGGAUCUUCCUUAAGUACUUUUGCCUUGUUGCUGAACCAUAAUAAUGCUUUUUGCUUGCCUGGAUGGAGGAUGUAAAAGUGUGUGUGUGUGUGUGUGUGUGUGUGUGUGUGUGUGUGUGUGUGAUUCCUGGAUUGCAGGGGGUUGGACUAGAUGACCAUAGCUGUCAACUUUUCCCUUUUCUUGUGAGGAAUCCUAUUCGGAAUAAGGGAAUUUCCCUUAAAAAAGGGGAAACGUUGACAGCUAUGUAGAUGAUCCUUCCAACUCUACAGUUCUAUGAUUCUGUAAUCACUGGCCCCCAGAAGGUUGUCCAUGGAAGAACAUGGCCCCUGGGCUGAUGAAAAUGAUCCUGCAGCAAAACACUAGAGCAUCGUGAAUAAAUGGAGGACAACUAAAAACCAAGCAGAGCAGAAUAACCUCACUUGGAGGCAGAAUCAACAGGGCUUGCUAACUUCCCUUCCUGUGGCUCUCCUUGAUAAGAAACAGCUGGAACAAGACCUGGCUGGAAUGAGACUCAGCUGUAGACCAUUGAGCUUCAGGACUCCUAUUAAUUCAGAAGAGGUGUGUCUGGCAAGCAGGGAGAAACUGGCAAAUGGGGGAAAACACUUGGAGAAGGCUGGAGUGACUAGCUGGUGGCAGGACUUGGUGUACGGCCGCAGAGGAUACUUAGCUGCCCCCCAGAUGGGAACUUGCUCAGAAGGAGGCUGAAGAAAGGACUCCCCCCCCCCACAAGUCCCAGAAGGUGGGUAAGCAUUGCCACAAAUCCUUGUUGGCUAGAUAACUCUCCUUCAACCCUCCCGGACUUGGGACAGUCCUGGAAGGCAAGAGCAGGAUAUUCUAUCUUACGGUAUGCUAGCACCAGGAAAGGCUGAGCUAAAGCUUCCAGCCAAGGAACUGCUGGGCUAUAUUUAUGGGAUACCAAAGCGCUUGUGAGUGGACCCGCCAGCUGACUCCUGGGUAGGGGCAGCUGCCCGAAACGUUAAUCCAGGGAGGUUGCUUUAAGGCUCAGGGAGAUGCAUCUCUCGCAUUUUGAUGGGUGGCUGGUGGAGUGUGCUAUAUAACACUUAAUCCCCUAAUAAAAGCUGUGAACUGAACAUCCCUGUGGUCAUGGCUGUGUGUGGAAAUGAAAAAGAGGGCUGGGUAAUUAUAAUUAUAAUUCAUUAUUUAUAGCCCGCCCAUCUGGCUGGGUUUCCCCAGCCACUCUGGGUGGUUCCCAACAGAACAUAAAAAGAUCAACCAUUAAAAACUUUCCUAAACAGGGCUGCCUAAGUCAGGUUGUUGUUUAUUUCCUUGACAUCUGAUGGGAGGGCGUCCCACAGGGUGGGCGCCACUACCGAGAAGGUCCUCUGCCUGGUUCCCUGUAACCUCACAUCUCACAGUGAAGGAAACUGCCAGAAGGCCCUCAGAGCUGGACCUCAGUGUCCAGGCUGAACGAUGGGGGUGGAGACGCUCCUUCAGGUAUACAGGACCGAGGCCGUUUAGGGCUUUAAAGGUCAGCACCAACACUUUGAAUUGUGCUCGGAAAUGUACUGGGAGCCAAUGUAGGUUUUUCAGGACCGGUGUUGUAUGGUCUUGGCCGCUCCCAGUCACCAGUCUAGCUUCCACAUUCUGGAUUAAUUGCAGUUUCCGGGUCACCUUCAAAGGUAGCCCCACGUAGAGCGCAUUGCAGUAGUCCAAGCGGGAGAUAACCAGAGCAUGCACCACUCUGGUGAGACCGUCUGUGGGUAGGUAGGGUCUCAGCCUGCGUACCAGAUGGGGUUGAUAAACAGCUGCCCUGGACACAGAAUUGACCUGCGUCUCCAUGGACAGCUGUGAGUCCAAAAUGAUUCUGCUCAUGGAAGUCCAACAAUGGGAAGCCUGUAAGCAGAACCUGAGCACCACAGCACUCUUCUCACUUGCUGCUUCUGCCCUUUUGGCUAGACCAGGAAUGUGGUCAGAGAACCAUAGAGUAGGUACGUCUAGGACUGCACUAGAAGACUGCAGAGCCAAGAUGAAACUGCUGCGUACAGUUAAAGUGGUACAAACUUCACCUUCAUGUCACGUUGCCCCUCAAAUCCUCCUCUAAUAAUGAAAUCCUGCUUAGCGGUGGAAUAUCUACAGUGCGGUCAUGGCAUUGAGAGAAACGGGCCAGGUAUCCUGGGAGGAUUGUAAGAAAAUGAACAAAUAGCUGCUACUAUGAAUAACAAAUCAAGGAAGCUAUUUUGAGAUAUAUUGAAAGAAUGGAAAUUAGCGAAAGAUUAACGGAAGAAGCUGGAUAGCCAUAUUAUUCUUGGGCAUGGCAUAUUUUAUAAAGAUUUGCUGAACUAGCGAGCAAGGGAAGGGGAAAAAACCCAAUGUGAUUUUAUCUGGUUGUAAAGUAUAUGCAAAGCUAAUAGCAGCCGCAGCAUAAAUUUUAGUGCUCAGUAACUGGGUGAUGGAUAUUCUUUUUAGAUAUAGCAAAUAUGUUUAACUCCAGAAACGCCAGCUAGCAUGUGUCUCAGUGCUGCAAAUAAACUCACGGCAAGUGAUGAGUGACCCUGGUGGUUCUUGUUUUGGGGAGGGCCCCCCAAAAUACAGUAUGCUUUCCUGUUGACAUUUUGCUUAUAGUGAAAGCAAAGUUCCUCUGUUGUGUAUACAACAGUUGUGUAAAAUUCUUUCUCCUCCUCCCCUAGGCUUUUCAUUAAUUUUCAUAGGUAUUUAAUAGUUUUAUUAAUUUAGCAGCAGUGCUGUUUUAUAGAUUUAGAAAGAGCAUCCUCUUCACAUGUGAUGGUUUUAAUGUUGCUUUCUGUGGUUGCUGCUUCUGUUAUUUUGGUAUGGGGAAAUUUUAUAUAAUGGGGGAGUUUUUUUCUUCAAUGUUGGUUAGAAGAUGGAACUUUGCGGUUUUGAAUUUUGUGUUUUCGAUUUUGAAAAUGCAUCGCAAGGUGAACUGUCUUUGUUUUGACCUGAUAUCGCUGAGUUAGGCAGUUCCUCACAGAAGUGCCCUGUGCUGAAGGUUGCUUAUACAAAUCAUGCUAAUCUGUGCGCUUUUUAAAAGGCGAAAACUUGUGAAUCUGGUUAAUGCAGCAUGAAGCAUGGGAAACUGCCAGUAUUAAUUUGAGCAAUGGCCUCCAUUUAAGUCCAAUGAUCUGGUCGAUGCACAUUUUUCAGUUCUUGUGAACAGAUGUGGUUUUCGAAGAUGUGCGCACUUCAUCCCCAAUUGCUGUUAAUAUGGAAAUAUUUGGCACUCGGGCUCUGCUCUGGGAGAUAUGGUUCAGGGACAGGUUGCAGCAAGGGUCCAAAGUUGGGAAUACUGAAGGGUUGGUGGCUUCAACCCAGCAGGUCAGGCAGCAGUUGCUGCAACUUGGAUGGAAAGCUGAGGAGAGCUCCUCAAUCGUUGGGGGAAGAUGCAAAAGUCAUUGCCUCUGACCUGGUCUAUCCUGCCUCCCAGGAUUGUUGGGAAGAUAAAAUGAGGGAAAGGGGACCACAUACUCCCUCUUGAGCUCCCUGAGAUAUACUGGAGGUCAGAUAUAAACUUAAUAGAUAAAUCCACUUCUCCAGAGCCAGUCUUAUGAUAGCCUUUGUCUCUGAAUUGCAACAGAGUUGCACCAGCAAUUAUCAGAUGGAGCAAUUAUAUUUUUGCAUUGGGCUUGACCUCCCUGACGACCUCUUUUCAGUGUCUCUGCAAAUACUUGGGCCUCCUUAUUUGCCUGAGCCCUACUCUUUGAGGAGAUCCUCCUCACCACCUGCAACAAACAAAUUAAACUCCAGGCCACAUGAAGGGCCUGGGAACCACAACAGUGUUACAGCUGAGCUGGCGUAAUAUUCUCUCUCAUUAUGGGUCUAAUAUGGGAGAAGGCAAUCACCGUUAUCAUAUUCGUCAGAUGGAGGGACUUGAUGCAUCAUAAAUAACAUUAACUGAUGAUGAUUCUCCAAACGCUCGAACCGUUAAUUAUUGAAUCCUUAAUUAUUUGUUUCCAGACUGGGCUGGAAGGGUCCUUGCAUGAUCAGUCUUUUCAGUAUGGAAGAUAAAUAAAAGGCAUCCUGUCUUGCUUGUCCCUUGUUGGCAUAGAUUUCAUGUGUAAGUUUCUCUGUAAUGGCAAUUGUCCAACAUUUACUAUGGUGCUAGAGGUCAAUAGUAGGAGUCCUAUUGCUUCUCUAUUACCACAGGCCUGGCAGCAACUAUCUGCAGACACUCCCACCCAGGGGUGAAGGAAGGCGUUGUGACACCUGGGGCGGGCAUCGCUACGUAGGGUACAUGUGCGGCAUCACUACAUAUGACGCAUGCGCUGUACGUAGUGACACUGCACAUGCGCUGUACAUAGCGGUUUGCCGGCGCCACUGCUCCAGCGCCAUACGGACGAUGCCGGAAUCCUCUGCUCGUGGCUGCAGCCGCAAAUGGAGGAUCGUCCACAUGUGGCUGUGGCUGCGCGAUGGCUGGUUGCGCCACUGUGAGCCCCCGCAGGGUGACUUCUUGUCACCCCCGCAGACAUGGAACCUGGGGCACACCGCCCCCGGCCUCCCUGUUCCGAUGCCAUUGCUCCCACCACAGAGUAAGUUAGGGUUAAUGGACGUCCCCGGUUCCUGGGGACAGUCCCCAGAUUUGCAAAUCUGUUCCAGGACAAAUUCCGUCCCUGGAAUGUCCUCAGAUUUGCAAAUCUGUCUCUGGGAAACGUGGCAGCGGCAGCCUCAGCAGCCCGGAGCCAGCCUGGUAGCGCAGUUGGCUCUGGCUGGCUUCAGGAGCUGCUCGCUGCCCACUGCCGUGGCACCCACCAUUUUUUCUGCGCCACGGCAGCGAGCAGCUCCUGAAGCCAGCCAGAGCCAACUGAACUAUCAGGCUGGCCCCUCCUGGGCAACAGCCACCUGCCUGUGAUUCCUGAACCUUCCCUGAUCUGUCAAAACAAAGGGGGAAGCAGGAAGGAGAUCCAGGGAGGCGCGGGAGUCAUUUGCGGGUGGCACGCCGUUGCCCAGUUUUUUUAAGGUGUGAAAGAAGGGCUUUGCACCUUUAUACAAUAUGCAUGUGUGCUUGGGCCCAGGGUCUUUUGCCUCACCAUCCCCACUACUGACUCCCUGUUGCUACUCAGCUUCAAAAUAAAUAAAUAAAGUGUCCCCAGAUUCAUUGGAAAAAAAAUCUGGUAACCAUAAUGUAAGUGCCCAAUUAACUGCAACCCUUCAACAUUUGGGGCCAGUAGCACACAAUCUCACUGGAGUAGAAUGCCAUUAAUGGAUUGUGUCUUAAUAUUCUCUCUCUGACAUAACACAGAGAUUGCAGUGGCUUUGGAGUGUGCCUCAUCAUCUGGAGGGACCCUAUAUCUCCCUGAGGACAUUGCCAGGUGCUCUCUUCCUUAGCAGAGAGGGCCUCUUUGCGUGAGAACCUGAUGUGAAUGCAGAAGGGUGGUCCAAUUCCUGGCAUAUCUGGGGAAUACCUCUUGUACAAAACCCUGGAGCGCUACUGCAAGUCAGUGUAGACAGUACUGAGACAGACGGAGCAAUGGUCUAACUCGGUAUGGGGAAGAUGCCUAUGUUCCUAGAUGGGGGAGUGUUGAAACUGGAAACUUCUUUUGUCUUUUGCAGGCAUGGACCCAUUCUCAGUUCUUGAGGUGCCCAUCAUUCUGGAUGAAGGCCAUGGCACCAUGAAGAUAGCUGGUGUCGCCAUUCUGUUUUGGGGUCUUCUCCUACAGAGAUCAGGUGAUUGAUGCAGUAUAUAAGAGGUAAGACUGUCUACGUACUUUCACUAUGUGUUAUGUACUGAAUUGAAUAGGAUCCAAAAUGCAGCAGUCUGAUUGGUCCUAGAACAAUAGGAUUCAGAAUGCAGCAGUCUGAUUGGUCCUAGAACAAUAGGACCCAGAAUGCAGCAGUCUGAUUGGUCCACAGGAGCCACCCAAUCCAGCUCCAGGUGGAAGUGAAUCCGCAACCUGAUUGGCCUACAGGAGAAUCCCAGAAUUAGCCAAUCACGUGGGGCCUAUUGUGUAAAUAAUGUAUAUAAAGCAGACAUUCUGGGGGAACUUCCAUUCCUCCUCACCACUAUGAGCCGAAUAAAGAGCAUGAAAUCCACUCUCGACUCUGAGUGUAUUUCACUAUUUUUGCAUAACAACAGUGUGAUUAAAAAGGGUGUGUGUCCCCCAAUCCAUUCCACACAUUGAAAGAAGUACAGGGUUGCGCAGGCAAAGCCCGCCUUCUUCUACAUCGCCACCUUGCUACCUUGAUUCCUGCAUGCCAAAGCUACGCCAAGAGGCAUUCUACUUGUCUACUGAUAUAGGGGAGCUCUAGUCAUGUACAUGAGGAGGGACCCUGUUCUGAUGUAGCUUGAGCAGGUGGGUGUUGGGUGUUUGUGUGGGGCAGUGGCAUGCAGUGGUGGGGGCGCUGAGCUUCCCCGCGUGGCUUUUCAACCUCACCCACACCUUUCAACACAUGGAGGUGAGUCACAUGAGCCCCCUAAUAUGACCUACCAGGAAAAAAGGCUUUGAAAAUGUCAUAGGUAUGUGAUGCGCCUGUGUGCAUCCUUGCACCCCAAGAAAGCUGCUGCUCUACUUUCCUCUCCCUUUCAUAUUUCCCUUUAUUGAGAGAUGGACCCUGACAGAUAGUUGAAUGACUGCCCUCUGGACAGUAUCUUCAGUUGGAUGAGCUAAACAUUUGGGUAUUCUAAAGGAGAGACUUGAUGACACUUCCCCCAACUUCAUUAUCUGAGCAUCCUUUGAAUUCUAUAUCUGUCAACAUUGCUGUAUUAAAAAUUCAUCAGGUCUGGAGCAUUUAUUCCUGUAGUUAAAAUUGCUAUGGAGACUCCUUUUUUCCUUCCUUUUUUAUAACCCCCCCCCCAAUUUAUUGCUACUUCAUUUGGUGUGUAUUUUUAUUUUUUCCAUCCAUCACAAUCGGAGCUUGUCUAAUGUGGUUUUCAGAUGUUUCUCACAAAUGUGUGUGUGUUUUUCCAAAAGACUCGGAUAUUUUCAGAGUGUUGCCAGACUUGAUGACCAAGCAUUAAAGCAGAUUUGAGGAACCUGUGGCUCUCCAGAUGUUGUUGGAAUCCAAAUCCCAUCAGACCCAGCCAGUCCCACAACAUCUGGAGGUCCAUAGCUCGCUCCUCCCCUUCCGGCCUCAGACCCCUGUUCAGUUCUCUGUCAUUCACACUGUCUCUGCAUGAAAGAGUUGGGGGUUUUUUGCUUUGGGAAAACAUAUCCCAACUCUGAUAAUUUUAGAAAUACAACUCUGUGCAUUUGGGAGAGGGAUCUAUGUCAAUGUAGAGGAAGGGCAAGAUACACAUGUUAGAAUAGCCUUCCCCACACCUGACUCCCCAGAUGUUUCUGGAUUACAAUUCCCAAUGUUCCUGGCCAUUGGCCAGACUUGUUGGGGGCGGGGUAAAAGGAGUUGGAGUCCAGCAACAUCUGGGGACCCAAGGUUUGGGAAGAAUGUCUUAGAUAAAAAAACCCUAAAAAUGUACAGCUGGUGCAAAAUGCUGUGGCUGGCCGGAAGACUUUCUGGUAUAUGUUUUUCUUACAGUAUCACACCAAUCUGGCUUGUGAUUCAUUUCUGGGUACAAUUGCAGUGGCUUCUGAUUCAUUUCUUCAGAUGCAAUUAAAGGUGCUGAUUAUUACCGUAUUGACCCGAAUAUAAGCCACACUUCCCCCCCAAAUUCCGACAGGGUAAAGUUAAAGUGCAACUUAUAUUCACAACCUUACGCAGCCAGGAGCAGCAAGGAAGGGAGUGGCUUAUAUUCGGGUAUUUUCUCUCUCCCCCCUCCAAUAUUAAAGGUGUGGCUUAUAUUCGGGUGUGGCUUGUAUUCGGGCCAAUACGGUACCAUCUACAAAGGCUCAAAGGGUUUGGGACUAGGCUAUUCAAAGGACCACCUCCUCCCACAUGAACUUGGCCAUCAGCUGCAGAGGUGCCACUCUGCAUUCCACUACCAAGGCAGGUCUGAUGGGGCAGAGAAACAUGACCAACAAUGGACUAUGAAAGCUAAGUAGAACCUCCAUUGCCUCCUGCAGAUGCUGUUUUAUCGGGAGAUCUGUUCUGCACAGUGUUGGAAAGGGGCCUUUAGUGUUGUGGCACCUGCCCCUUGGAAUUCCCCCCAAUUGAACAUUAGACAGGUUCUAUCUCUGCGCUCUCUCUCUCUCUCUCUCUCUCUCUCGUUUGGUGGCAGCUGAAGUCCUACCUCUUUCAGGAAGCCUUUUAAGCGGAGAUCUUUCCUACUCUUCCAUCUGUAUUGGAAUUGCUCCUAAGACGUUGCUGUUGGUUCCUGCCCUGGGCUCCUUUAGAGGAAGGGCGGGAUACAAAUUUUAAAAUAAAAAACAAAAUAAGGAAAACAUUGGGAGAUCUACCAGUUUUCAACGCCUGGGCUUGAUGGUCUGACAGUAUAUGGCAGUUUUAUCUAAUCAUAAGCUUGCAUUAAAAUUGUGGUACAGAGAAUAGUUGUGAUGGCAGUACCAGCUGCUGCUGCUGCUGCUGCGUUCAUCCUCGGAAAUAUAUUUCAUUUUUCUCACGCCCUUCAGGUAUCUUGGCUCCACAGAGCCUGUGUAGGUGGGAGCUAAGGAGGAACCACACCACAAAGCAACUUCAUGGUGCAACACGCCUCAUUGCCUUGUGGGUGGAAAGAUUUGACAAUUCCAGUAUCACCUUUGGAUUCCCCAUGAAAAUGUCUGCAUGAACAUUUUGUGUGGGCAUUUCUCCUAAUAUAUGCAGUUUUGCAAGCAAUUUCCACUAAUAGAAUGCAUAUUUGUACAUUAUUUUCCCUGGUGUAUACAUCUUUGUGACCAUUUUCCCCAACGUUCCUUUUUUUUUUUUGCACACAGUUGGGUUUUUGUUUGUUCAGUAACGACACUGCCAUUUCAUAAAAGUGUGAAAAGUUUAAGGAUAGCCGCCUUUUGGUUCACAUUUAGGUUUGGGAAGUUUCAAUAGAAGUAAAAACUGAACUACAGUGGUACCUUGGGUUAAGAACUUAAUGCAUUCUGGAGGUCAGUUCUUAACCUGAAACUGUUCUUAACCUGAGGUGCCACUUUAGCUAAUGGGGCCUCCUGCUGCCGCUGCACGAUUUCUGUUCUCAUCCUGAAGCAAAGUUCUUAACCCGAGGUACUAUUUCUGGGUUAGCGGACUCUGUAACCUGAAGUGUCUGUAACCCGAGGUACCACUGUACCUUAGGGUAAUGGGGCUGAGCUCUACAUUUGGUGCGUGUACAUGGCUAAACUAUGGAACUGCACUCAGUCAGUGGAAAUGUGGCUACUGAUUUUUACUCACAAUUUGGGGAACUGCAUGCCUCAGUGGCAGAGCAUCUGACUUGCAUGCAGUCGGUCUCAAGUUCAAUCCAUGUUACUUCCAAAUAGGGAGGAGAAUGUCCCUUGUCUGAAGUCCUGCAGCCAUCCAGUGUAAUUUAUUAUUUUAUUAUUAUUUAUUAUGGUUAUAUACUGCUCUUUCUUCCAAUGAGCUUCAGGUGGUUCUUUUCUUCCCCAUUUUAUCCUCACAACAACCCUGUGAGGUAGGUAAGGCUGAGAAAUAGUGACUGGCCCAAGGGCACCCAGCAAGCUUCAUGACUGAGUGGGGAUUCGAACCCUGGUCUCCCAGGUCCAAGUCUUGCCCACCCUUCAUGAGCCGUCCCUGACAAGUGGGUGGCACUGCCUGCCUUUCAUUCACCUCAGAAUGGAGGGCAUUAGGUGACCACACAUUGACAAGGUCAGUGUGGCAGUGAGCCAGUGUGGUGUAGUGGUUAAGGGCGGUAGACUCGUAAUCUGGUGAACUGGGUUCGCUUCCCCGCUCCUCCACAUGCAGCUGCUGGGUGACCUUGGGCCAGUCACACUUCUCUGAAGUCUCUCAGCCCCACUCACCUCACAGAGUGUUCGUUGUGGGGGAGGAAGGGAAAGGAGAUUGUUAGCUGCUUUGAGACUCCUUCGGGUAGUGAUAAAGCGGGAUAUCAAAUCCAAACUCUUCUCCUUCCUCUUGACAUGCGCUCUGAAUUCUUCCUUUCCAACUCCGACUUUAAUUAAAGUUGGGGCCGCAAAAGAUUCCAGACUGUGGCUGCAAAAGAAGAACUCCUGUGCGGCUUUCCUUGUGGAAAGCAGGGCUGGCUUUUGGCACUGAAUUCAGCACAGAAAGAAAACCCUUCUUGUGGCAGGGGUCAGCUGCUGUCAAAAACUUCCAGGUGUAACCGGUCUUGGACAAAUGGGAAAGACACUGAAUGCAAUCCUUACUUUCAGAGGAAUUGGGAGCAAAUGGUAGCCACACCUAGCUUUCUGUGACCUCAGGUGUGGAGCAAGUGAGCUGAGUGUAGGGGAAACAAACAGCCUCACAGGCCAAUCUAGAACUCUUGGAGUGUCAGGAGUGUGUGCAGGAGCCAGGCCCUGUGACCAGUAGGGCUUCACAGGACUGGGGCCUUCCUAAGUUUGUUCUGGAGAGGCAAGGCACGGCCGCACAGGUGAGGCCGCUUGGUAACUCACUGCACCUGGUGGCAAGAGUUUGGAAGGGAUAUAAGGUCAACAUUUCCCUUUGGCUCUUUGCCACAGAAACACGUUUCCUGCCUUGUUGUGUUUGGCUCCUUGCUUCCUGAUCCUCGGACCUUGGCUUCUUGACUCCUUGCUUCUCGACCCUUGACUUCGUGACUCCUUGCUUCUUGACCCUCGGACCCCUGGCUUCUGGACACCUGUUCCUGCUCCCACACUGCCAUCUUGCUCCCGGUCCCGACGUUCUCAGCCGGGACUUCAAUCGCCCGUAGACCAGACCGUGACAUGGAGGCCCAUGGAAUCAUAGAGUUUUGGAAGGUACCCCAAAGCCAUCUAGACCAAACCCCUGCAAUGGAGGAAUCUUUCGCCCAAUGUGGGGUUCAAACCCUCGACCCUGACCUCUAACUGUACCGACUGAGCUAACCAUGAGCUCGAGGUUCUCCCCCGUGGUGCAGAAAAUACUGAACAAGAUGGAACAAUUUGUCUGAAUCUGUUUAAUGCCGUUUCCUGCGCUCCUCCGUGUAUACUUCAUUCGAAUAAUUCUGGCAAAACUUCCAAAUAACUUGUAAAGAAAAUGAAAGUAGGGAAGCCAAGCCAAACCCUGGCAAUUAACUGAGUGAUAUACAAAAUGUAGGCCAAGGUUGUCUCCCUGGUUUGGUCAGGUGUCAGCUUCAGGAAUGUUUUGUGUUCAUAUCAACACCCUACACUAGGUAGUUUGAGCAGGCCUUUGUUUGUACCAGCAACCACUCCAAUAACCAUUCCACAGAAUUUACAACAAUAGCUUUCAAAAGCACCACACACACUCCCGCACGCACAUGGAUUUUUAAUUGGCUGUCGCGCACAUCACUUGCAAAGCUUCCCAGCUAGAACCGAAGGAUUGAGGUACGAUUGUGUUUUGAAGGUCAAAUAAGACAAAUGGCCCAAGGAAGGACACUUUUAUAAUUGGAGCGGGAUAGCGGUUUGGUUAAUUUACAGCUCCUGGUAAUUAGGUUGAUGCCCGAAAUAGCAGAAUACGCAGGCUGGAGGGAGGGGGGAGGGGAUGGGUGGGUCACGGCCUUUUCCUCUGAGUUCCUGCAGUUUUUCAUUUCUUUGCAAACACACAGGAAGAAAGCAACAUGGAGAGGAAGGAUAUAGUCUUGCGUACAUUGCGCCACCGCUAAAGUAGCAGUGUGGAGAAAAAUCAGGCGACCGGAAAGCUACCUUUAAAAAAUAAAUAAAUGUAACCUAACUAAAUCUAAACUUGGCCAUCGAACUGCUGCAUUGCCGGGGGUUGGACUAGAUGACCCUUGGGGUCCCUUCCAACUCUACAAUUCUAUGAAAUUUAAAGUAAAUAAUUAUGCCAUGUUACUAGCAAUGUAGGCUCCCAGAGGAACUUACUCUGGGAGAAGAAGGGCACCCUGUGGCCACAAAAUAGGAUUUCCCCCAGUGCAUACAAAUAAACCCAAUGUCACAGGAGCCUGCCAGUUAGCAAUCAAAGAUGGUGUCAACUCUUUUUUAUAUAUAUACUUUUUUUUAUUAAGAAUUUCAACAUAACAAUUUAUCAAAAAUGUAUCGUCCUCACCCCCCUAUUUCCCCCCCUCCCCAAACCAGAUCCCCACCCUCCUACCCCCACCACCAGACUUCCCCCAGCUCCCCUCUCUGGUUUUUCAGCACAUGUUAAUCUCUGCAUACUAUAAAAUUGUAAAGAUCCUUCAUUUAUCUGUCUAUAUGUUACCAAUAAUAAAUUUGUGUAUGUUUGUUCAAAACCUGCCAAGGAGUCCAGCUCAGUUGGUUGUUUCUUUAAAUACUUUGUAAAAGGUUCCCAUUCUUCUUUAAAGUCACAGUUGUCCUUAUCACACAGUUUGUGUGCCAGUUUCAUCAGUUCCACAUAGUCCAUCAUUUUCUCUUGCCACAGUUCUUUGGUCGGGAUUUCUUCGUUCUUCCAUCCUUGUGCUAUUAAGACUUUUGCCGCCGUUGUCACAUACAUGAAGAUAUUCUUCAAUUUCCUUGGCAGGUCUUUUCCUACAAUCCUGAAAUAUACUCGGAGUCGAGAGUGGAUUUCAUGCUCUUUAUUCAGCUCAUAGUGGUGAGGAGGAAUGAAUGUUUCCCCAAAGUAUCUGCUUUAUAUACAUUAUUUACACAGUGGGCUGCACGUGAUUGGCUAAUUUCGGAAUUCUCCUGUAGGCCAAUAAGGUUGUGGAUUCACUUCCAUCUGGAGCUGGAUUGGGUGGCUCCUGCAGACCAAUCAUACUGCUGUAUUGUUCUAGGACCAAUCAGACUGCUGCAUUUUGGAUCCUAUUCAACUCAGUACAUAACAAAUCCCUAACAGAAAUGUUUCAGGCUUUUUUGCAAAUGUUAGUUGGAACAUUUUCUUCAAGGCGUCAACUGUUUAUGAGCAAAAACGCAAUAUCUAUAUGAUUGCUUCAGAAGGUGGUGGACUUUCCUUCACGAGAAGUUGGUAAGCAGAUGCCGGGUAGUUUCCUAUCAAGGAUUCCGUGCUUUGACUGGGAUUGCUUUGUUCUAUAAAGUCAUGUGAGAUUUCCACGUUAAGGCUAUGUACUUGCAAAAUGGGUAGGGAUUUCAGUGGGUGCAGCUCACAGUGCCUCAGGGGGGUGAACAGGAGCACCUUCCAAGAUUCUCUCAUUUGAGCAGGAGGUUAACAGGAUCCUGGACGCAGAGGUGUGCAUGUCUGCCCGUGUUUUAGGAAGUGGGGAAAACAAGCAUGCCUUGUUGAAAAGGAAUGGCAGAAUAAAUGCCACUGCUUUUCUUUGGUGUGUUUUCCUUCCACUGUGAGACAAAUGGAGGAGCUCUGGAAAUUCUGUACAGUGGUACCUCAGGUUAAGAACUUAAUUCAUUCUGGAGGUCCGUUCUUAACCUGAAACUGUCCUUAACCUGAAGCACCACUUUAGCUAAUGGGGCCUCCUGCUGCUGCCACGCCACUGGAGCACGAUUUCUGUUCUCAUCCUGAAGCAAAGUUCUUAACCCGAGGUACUAUUUCUGGGUUAGCGGAGUCUGUAACCUGAAGCGUCUGUAACCUGAAGCGUCUGUAACCCGAGGUACCACUGUAGUCCCCAAUUCCCUUGAACGGGGAGCUGGAUGGGGGAAUGGGGCAAUCACAACUUUCCCCUGGUAUUGAGUCAAUCCCCCUCCCACACAAGAGCAUUUUGGAGAAUUGUAGAGUUGGAAGGGGGGACCCCAAGCAUCAUCUAGUCCAACCCCUUGCAAUGCAGAAAUCUCAGCUAAAAAGUCCCCAACAGAUGGCCAUCCAACUGCUGCUUAAAAAGCUCCAAUAAAAAGGGGAGUCCUCAGCCUUCCUCAGGAGCAGCUAUAUUUUGACGGCAUUACGUAGUUUUGAAGAACAGUCACAGCAACAUUCUUAAAAUGAACAGCUUAAAAAAAAAUACUGGCAAGCUUAAAAGAAUGUCCAAAUAAGUCCAAACCAGCCUACGCUAUUGGUCAUCAGCUGCUGUGUGCAGCUUAACCAUGUGGUAAGCCUGGCAUCUCCAAGUAGAGAUGGGAAUGUCUGCUCUCUGAAACCCUGGAGAGCUGCUGCCAUACUGAGCUCGAUGGACCAAUUGUCUGAUUCAGCUUCCUAUUUCACCACCAUCCGUCCCACUGAAAGCUAAAAUGGCAGCCCUGCUGUCUUUGGUGGUAAGCAAGACUCCAGGAAAGUGAGGCAAAUAGAUGGAAAGUCUGCUUUGCGGUGAAUUUAAAGGUACAGGGGGACUUUCUGGGUUGUGACCUGGCUACCUUAAAUCCCAGGGAAAUCUAGCUAAAGCAGCAUGGAAGAACAACAUUAAUAUUAUUUUGGAAGCUGCCCAGAGUGGCUGGGGAAGCCCAGCCAGAUGGGCGGGGUAUAAAUAAUAAAUUAUUAUUAUUAUUAUUAUUAUUAUUAUUAUUAUUAUUGUCUCUCUGUGCAUCCUCAUCUUUGCCACAUCUGCCUUUGCACACGCUCUAUCCCUUUCUCUGCUCUUCCUUCUUCGUGUAGGUAAUGCUAUAAAUAGAGAACGCUGUUUGUGGAAGAAAAUAAAUGCCCCAAACAACUGCAUUACAUUUACAAGAUUCUGCUUCCCUGCACAGACAGGAAUAGCCCAAUGCAAAGAACAAGACGUGUAAGAAAACAAAAAGAGAGACAAUGAAGGUGGCAGAG
rnacentral:lncRNA from 1 species